rnacentral:lncRNA from 12 species
CUCUGAUAUUACAUUGUGCCAUAGCAUUAUUUCCCUCUUCUGUUUUUAGGUUUUUUUUUUUUUUUAUCUAUUUCCUCUCACAUUUUUCUUUAUGACUGUAACUUCGCUCAAACCUCCUUUUUGGUAGGGGUGGUAUUUCCUCCUUCUGAUAAUAGUCUUCUUAAUCUGUGCUCAGUGAAGGUGUUUGAUAAAUAUUAGUUGUUAGAAUAAAGGGUGGGUAGUUCUAUUGGAUGUUGCAUUUCUUCACCUGAAAUUAGAAUAAUAAAACAUACUCAUGGGGCUGACGUAAGGAUUAAAUGAACAAUGUGUAUAUAACAGAGUGCCUGCUGCUUGGUAAACAUUGGUAAAUUUUAUAUUCCCCAGAAUUAACUCAUUAAUGAAAACGCUUAUGUCACAAAACCACUUGGUUAUUUUGAAGCAGCAGUUGGACAGGAAUGAAUGAUUUGAGGCCUGCUUCAUUCAUUUAUGCACUUAUAUCAGGCACUAAAGAGGGAGUUUUAUUUUUUUAUUGUCUUUUUUUUUUUUUUUUUUUUUUUUUUUAAACAUUUUUUAAAUUUUUAUUUAUUUAUGAUAGGCACACAGUGAGAGAGAGAGAGGCAGAGACACAGGCAGAGGGAGAAGCAGGCUCCAUGCACCGGGAGCCCGACGUGGGAUUCGAUCCCGGGUCUCCAGGAUCGCGCCCUGGGCCAAAGGCAGGCGCCAAACCGCUGCGCCACCCAGGGAUCCCUAUUUUUUUUAUUGUCUUAAAGAUAAUUCAGCACAUCACUGAGUGCUUAAGAGUUUCUCUUGGUAAUCUAAGAAGACAAAACAAAUCUGAGAUCCUGUAUCCCCUCACACGGGUACUGUGGCUGCCUCAGAGGAUAAGCAGCUGAGGCCAGUACCUCCUUCCUGGACUCUGAAUCCAUUUGUGAGUACGGGCACUGAAGAGCUGGCCAUCCAUUUCAUCCUAUUUCCUAAAUUAAAUGGGCUGGUCAGUUUCAAUAUUCCUCUCAGGUCCAGAUUUCUUAAAAAUAAAGCCACCCUCGCCAGACUUCCUUGGAAGAGU